rnacentral:lncRNA from 1 species
CAGUUGCAGCCAGGAGACAGGAGACAGGAUCUCCUCCUCCUGCGCAGCUUGACCCUGGCAAACAGCUGGGCUCCAGUGGGGACAAUGAUCGGCCUCUAAUCCCUUCAAGGUGGGGCUCCCGAGGAAGGUAAGAGAAGGAUAGAUUGGUGGAUUGAAGGGAAAGGGGCAUUGAUAACACAGAAAAUUCUAGUCGUUGGGAGACCUGAGAUGGAGAGGAGUAGAAACGAAGACAAGAGUUGUGGCUGUGAACAUAACUUGGCGAUCAGGACACUUGUCAAAGCGUUCUUUAGCACCAGAGCAUCGCAGACAGGACAAACAGCCUUAUUUUGAGACUUAAUUGUAACAUAAUACAAGGCAAAAGGAAAAUUGUAAAAUAGGAAGAGGUAAAUGCACAGUCAGACACACCUAUGCAUAUGACAGAUAUUUAAUAAGGUAAAAGGGGCAAUAAUAAGAUUGUAGAUAUUAACUAAUGUUUUUUUUUUCUUUUUAGCUCACCCGUUUUACAGAUUUUUCAACACUGUUGCACUACCACAGGGUAUGGAUCAUGAAUCUGUACAACCAUUGGAUGGCUACACAGAGGAGUCUGGUCUGUUAUUGAUCCAGUUUUCCUAAGCAGAAACAGGGUUUCAUCCUAGCCACAUUAAGAUGCAAUUCAGUCUAAUUCACUAAAUAAUAUCAAAUACCAAAAUGUGCACUACCAAGUGCAAAAGCCACCAGGGCCUGCUUAGCUUUAAAUGCUAGCACUUAACCCGCGUGUUCACUCUGUUCAACCUUCCUCUGACUCCUUAAAACAGGUCUCAGCAGUAAACACAGGAGCUUAUUUUCACUGCCCUUUACUUAGAAAUACUUGAGUUUUCUUCCUAGAUGUCCUGAGAGCUGAAAUAACUAAAAGCAAAUUUUAUUGUCAUAUGUGUAUGGAUAUAUAUAUAUAUCGUAUGAUUUUAAAAUGUAGAAACAAAUGCACAAGAGGAUGGAAACAAAGAACUAUGCAAUGCUGUGGAGAUUAUGAGUGCUAUAUUGUUUAAUUUUUCAAGUUAUCUUUUAACAUUUUUUUUGCAAUAAAAAAUAACAUUUGACAA